rnacentral:rRNA from 1 species
AUUGAACGCUGGCGGCAUGCCUAACACAUGCAAGUCGAACGGUAACAGGCCCUUCGGGUGCUGACGAGUGGCGGAUGGGUGAGUAAUACUUAGGAAUCUACCCUGUAGUGGGGGACAACCCGGGGAAACUCGGGCUAAUACCGCAUACGCUCUACGGAGGAAAGCGGGGGACCGCAAGGCCGUCGCGCUAUUGGAUGAGCCUAAGCCCGAUUAGCUAGUUGGUGGGGUAAUAGCCACCCAAGGCAAUGAUCGGUAGCUGGUCUGAGAGGGCGACCGGCCACACUGGGACUGAGACACGGCCCAGACUCCUACCGGGAGGCAGCAGUGGGGAAUCUUGCGCAAUGGGCGAAAGCCUGACGCAGCGACGCCGCGUGAGGGAUGACGGCCUCGG